GGGUGCGAUCAUACCAGCGUUAAUGUUCCAGAUCCCAUCAGAACUCCGCAGUUAAGCACGCUUGGGCUAGAGUAGUAUUGGGAUGGGUGACCUCCUGGGAGGUACUAGUGGUGCACCCU
rnacentral:rRNA from 1 species